rnacentral:lncRNA from 1 species
UAGCAGCAAAUUAUACUCAAUUAUCUUAGCCAGUAAGGCAAAACAUCAGAUCAGUGGUUGGCAUUCUGCAGAGACAUGAUGCCCUCUCCCACCCCCAACAGUGGGGGCGGAGUGGGGUCACGCUGAGCAGGGGCUUUUUCUGAGAGGAUGCUGACACAAGGGCAAGAAGGAAACAGAACAGGGUGCAGACUCAGACCCAGGGAACGUGAGGCCUGUGAAUCCUGGAACUCAGGAGGUAGACUCCAGACACAUGGCCAUGGCAUCAGCAGCACGGGACCAGCAGCUUCUACAGAAGCCACCAGCAGUUUAGCCAGCAGGGUCCUUAACAGUUCAGCUGCAGAGGCACCCGGACAGAUGCACCA